rnacentral:tRNA from 1 species
UCCAGGAUAGCCUAGUGGACGUGGCACCUGCCCGGUAAGCAGAAGGUUGUGGGUUCGAUUCCCGCUCCUGGAC